UACGGAGGAUCCAAGCGUUAUUCGGAAUCACUGGGUUUAAAGGGUACGUAGGCGGGAUAAUAAGUCAGUGGUGAAAGUCUGCAGCUCAACUGUAGAAUUGCCAUCGAUACUGUUGUUCUGGAGUGCUUAUGAAGUGGUUAGAAUAUGUAGUGUAGCGGUGAAAUGCAUAGAUAUUACAUAGAAUACCGAUUGCGAAGGCGGAUCACUAAUAAAAUACUGACGCUGAGGGACGAAAGCGUAGGUAGCGAACAGG
rnacentral:misc_RNA from 1 species